rnacentral:lncRNA from 1 species
AACAACCGUAUAGUAGAGCAAUUAAUACCAAUUAAAUUUGUUCGUGAACAAUUCAUGAUGAUUGUUUUCGCUAUAUGCAGUAUUAUCCAUAAGAUAUUGGUAUGAAAUUUUCAACGCCAUAAUAAUGACUACUCUCAGUUGUCACUUGUCUGUAAUAGAAAGGGGCCUAAGAGGAUUACAUGUCAAAAUCAUGUUCGAGGAUUAAAGCUGAAUCGAUAUCUCAAAUGUUUAAAGGCACACAACUUAAGUUAAGACUUAAGACAGCUAGAAUAAACGAGAAUGCAAAUGAAUGAGGGUGCAGUAUUUGGUAAUAAAUUUUCCGUUUAGUGUU